rnacentral:rRNA from 1 species
CAGCCGCCACGGUAAUACGGAGGGCGCGAGCGUUACCCGGAUUUACUGGGCGUAAAGGGCGUGUAGGCGGCCUGGGGCGUCCCAUGUGAAAGGCCACGGCUCAACCGUGGAGGAGCGUGGGAUACGCUCAGGCUAGAGGGUGGGAGAGGGUGGUGGAAUUCCCGGAGUAGCGGUGAAAUGCGCAGAUACCGGGAGGAACGCCGAUGGCGAAGGCAGCCACCUGGUCCACUUCUGACGCUGAGGCGCGAAAGCGUGGGGAGCAAACCGGAUUAGAGACCCCUGUAGUCCCUGUCUCUUAUAC